rnacentral:rRNA from 1 species
UACAGAGGUCUCAAGCGUUGUUCGGAUUCAUUGGGCGUAAAGGGUGCGUAGGUGGCGCUGUAAGUCGGGUGUGAAAUUUCGGAGCUUAACUCCGAAACUGCAUUCGAUACUGCGGUGCUUGAGGACUGGAGAGGAGACUGGAAUUCAUGGUGUAGCAGUGAAAUGCGUAGAUAUCUGGAGGAACACCGGUGGCGAAGGCGGCAUCCUGGACCAACACUGACGCUGAGGAGCGAAAGCCAGGGGAGCAAACGGG